rnacentral:rRNA from 1 species
UACGAAGGGGACUAGCGUUGUUCGGAUUUACUGGGCGUAAAGCGCGCGUAGGCGGAUCGCUAAGUCAGGGGUGAAAUCCCAGGGCUCAACCCUGGAACUGCCUUUGAUACUGACGAUCUGGAGAUCGGGAGAGGUUGGUGGAAUUCCGAGUGUAGAGGUGAAAUUCGUAGAUAUUCGGAGGAACACCAGAAGCGAAGGCGGCCAACUGGCCCGAUCCUGACGCUGAGGCGCGAAAGCGUGGGGAGCAAACAGG